GACGAUCAGUAGCCGGCCUGAGAGGGCGGACGGCCACACUGGGACUGAGACACGGCCCAGACUCCUGCGGGAGGCAGCAGUGGGGAAUAUUGCACAAUGGGGGAAACCCUGAUGCAGCGACGCCGCGUGAAGGAAGAAGUAUCUCGGUAUGUAAACUUCUAUCAGCAGGGAAGAAAACAGACGGUACCUGACUAAGAAGCCCCGGCUAACUACGUGCCAGCAGCCGCGGUAAUACGUAGGGGGCAAGCGUUAUCCGGAUUUACUGGGUGUAAAGGGGGCGCAGACGGCCAUGGCAAGCCCGGUGUGAAAGGCAGGGGCAUAACCCCUGGACUGCACUGGGAACUGUCAGGCUGGAGUGCCGGAGGGGUAAGCGGAAUUCCUGGUGUAGCGGUGAAAUGCGUAGAUAUCAGGAGGAACACCGGCGGCGAAGGCGGCUUACUGGACGGCAACUGACGUUGAGGCCCGAAAGCGUGGGGAGCGAACAGGAUUAGAUACCCUGGUAGUCCACGCCGUAAACGAUGUAUACCAGGUGUCGGAUAUCAAGGAUAUCCG
rnacentral:rRNA from 1 species